rnacentral:lncRNA from 1 species
GCUAGCUAAGGGGUUCUUCUCCACACAUGUUAUACUUGCAUACAAAAUGAUUUCCAAUUGCUCUUCGACAAACCAUGAAUACUCAACGCCCCAAAUUAACCGUGAAUUGCACUAAUUAACCCUCAGUUUUUCUACAAGUUAUUAGGUCGGAUGAUUGCAUACGACAACCCAAAACAUUCCCUACAAGUUCCCUACAUGAAUUGCAUAAUAGAGAUACACGCAAGAAUCAUUAAGUUCUAUGAAAAACAUAAGCAUUGACGAGGCACUCAUUACUAUGAAUUGCAUGAAACUUAUGCCAAGAAUUUACUUAACACGAUUGUGAUCAACAACCUUUACUA